rnacentral:rRNA from 1 species
GACGAACGCUGGCGGCGUGCUUAACACAUGCAAGUAGAACGGAAAGGCCAUGCUUUUGUGGGGUGCUCGAGUGGCGAACGGGUGAGUAACACGUGAGUAACCUGCCCUUGACUUUGGGAUAACUUCAGGAAACUGGGGGUAAUACCGGAUAGGAGCUCCUGCUGCAUGGUGGGGGUUGGAAAGUUUCGGCGGGUGGGGAUGGACUCGCGGCUUAUUAGCGUGUUGGUGGGGUAGUGGCUUACCAAGGCUUUGACGGUUAGCCGGCCUGAGAGGGUGACCGGCCCCAUUGGGACUGAGAUACGGCCCAGACUCCUACGUGAGGCAGCAGUGGGGAAUUUUGCACAAUGGGCGGAAGCCUGAUGCAGCAACGCCGCGUGCGGGAUGACGGCCUUCGGGUUGUAAACCGCUUUCGCCUGUGACGAAGCGUGAGUGACGGUAAUGGGUAAAGAAGCACCGGCUAACUACGUG